UCAACCUUCAGCACAUCAUCAAAACUAGCACUUAGCUGCCUCUAACCAUCUAAGAGAUUUAACAGCUUUUGUUCCAGGUGAGCAAGCCUCAGCUGUCUCUCUCUGUAAGUGCUUCUUUCUCCAGAUUUUGGGAGAUGCAGUUUGCCUUGUAACUGCAGUUCCUGGGUAAUUUCAAGGUCACAAAAGCUACAGUAGCAUUUCCUAACUCUGUUUAAAGCUGGUACACAAUGAAAAUUCUCUACCAGAAUCCAGAAAUUAAAAAGAUGGUACAAACAGAGGAAUAGAAAGAAAGACUCCACUUGAAAAUGGUCUUGCCAAGAAAGAAGCAGGAGGGAAAGAGUCAUCCUUGACACCUAUUCCUCAAACCAGCAAGACUAGGUAUGGAAGCCAAGAACAUAAAGGUCCUUGGGGAUGAGAGGUCUGCAGGAGGAAAGAAGCGUUAGGACCUAAAUCGACCUAUGGAAGACCACCUGCUAAUAUCCCACUUUACUGAAAUGAUCUUUCUGCCUAUCUUUACUGUGAGACAAAACAUAUAAAUGAAAGAGGAUAUACCUUAUUCUUGUGUUCUUAAUGGUUAACAUUAUGUUUGGUGCCUACCUAGAAAGUAUCUCCUAAGGGAUUAUCAAGACCUUGUAAGCUAUGCAAAAGAAAGGAGGCAAGAGGUCAGAAGUGAAGAUAGCAAAGGCAGAUUGAAAAGCAGAGGGCAGGGCAGGUACAAUUUUUCAACACACAAGCUGAGAACAAAGUCAGGGUCAGGAGUUAACCUGUAAUGGAUAUCGGCCUAUGGACUAUAGGCUCAUUUACAUGGAGAGAACAAAACCAGUCAUCCACUACACAAUGGGUGACCAUGGCAAAGUAGGAAUGAGAGGAAACCCUUAUGAAUUUGGGACCUCUAUUCAAAGUUAGUAAAUAUAGCACGUUUAUUAAUCUCUUGAUCAGAAAUAACUUAGCCUUGCCUAAGUUAUUCAUUUUUUCAUACAUGCUAUUUUGAUAGUGUUUGGAUAAAUAAAGCCAUGAGAUGCUUUCUGCCCUGGUUUACAUGGGAAAGCAAUAUACAAAGGUUCACACUAGAAUUAAAACAAAGAUUAUCCCCCGAAAUAAUGGAAUAAAACAAGGCAACCAUCAGCUCAAAGACUUUUAUUGUCCCAAGUAGGGUCUGAGAUUUAUAGAGAAUAUUUGCUUUUCCUAUUUUCAAUCUACUUAAGUUCUGUAUUAUUUGAAGAGCAACCCAAUUAUUUUUAACCUAAAUGCUUCUCUGAUCUGGAACAAAGUUUUGCUUUUACCAGACAGUUCUCAGGCCUUGCAAUAGGCAAGAUCAUCGUCACUGUAGUCCCAAGAUACAGUCUCUUUCUCAGUGAUGCAUAAAAGGAUUUUCCUCCCUUCAAAUGAUAAUUAAAUUAAAAACAAAGUUGGAAAGGCAGCUUUGAACUGCUCUGAUGAAAAAGGUCACUCACUGAUCAGCAAUCUGUUAGCACAGCUGUGUUGAGAAGAGACUUUUGAGCCAUGUCUUCUACAAGUGGGUUCUUCAUGUCAAGUGAGAAGGCCGUUGAUUUUGCUUCUUUUAAACACUUUUGUAAGUGACUCUCAGAAGCCAGCAAACAUACAGGCAUUUGGUGAGUUUGGAGAGACUUAGGUAAAAUACCAAAUUAUUUUGUCAAGAAAAUCCACAAGAGGAAAGCAACACUGAAUCUACAAUCAGGAAAACAAACAAACAAAAAACCUGUGGCAGUGAGCUAAUUUAUGUCCUUUCUAUUAGAAGUGUCAUGUGUCAGUUUGCUCGUUUCCUUGAUCAUUGUACCACCAGAGGGGAGGGAGUUUCAUGAAGUGGUUAUGCUUAACAAGUGUUACUCCUAGAAAUUGCAUGUGGCCAAAUCAUAUUUUAUAUUCAGUGAACUGAUAUUUUCCAAUCUAAAAAAUCUACAUGGCAAUGACCAAGGGAUUUUAGCAUUGUUUAAAGAAAAGAAAACCUUAUGCCCAUGGCAAUAAUAAAUGGACACUUCUCUUCUCAACUUCUUGGAUGCUACAGCCAGUAAACAAACAGGCAUUUGGAGAGUUUGUAGGGACAGACAGAUAAUCUAAGUUUGGUUUUAGACAGAUAACAACCUAAGUGUAGCUAAUGUCAGGUUUUGAGUAGCAAUUGCUCUUCUGUAGCUCAGGAAUUGGAAAAUAGUGUCGUUUUAAAGUUUCUUCAUAGGAUAAUAAUUUUCCCAUUGGAAAAUCUCAGAUUCAAACCUGUCCCUAAUCACUUCCUUUAAAUUCCAGUAAGAAAAAGAAUAAACUGAACCUAGUGCGGAGACUGGAAAUUGAUUUGUUAGUCAUUUUCAAAUAUGGCAUAUCAUGUUGGCAUUCACUUCUUUUAAUAAAUAUAAAAUGACUCAUUAAUCUCACUGUAGAAAAAAUACAGAUGAGAUUUCUUUUAUCAUAACAUUUACUGUACAUAGAAGUUUGAUGACUAGUAAAAUGAUAACAACAUUAACAUUCACUGAGCAAUGUUUACAUGGCAAUGACUGAAUCCAUUCUAUAUUUCUUGAAAAGGAUGUGGGUUGUGUAUCUCAGCAAAUAUCGGGGUUUUUAGGUGCUUUUCUAUGUCCUUUAUAUGCCUCAUUUAAUCUUCACAACAAUCCUUUGAAGCAAUUAUUUAGAUAAUUUUAUGUGACCUUUGAAGACUUUGAAGUAUAAACUUGAUAUAUCUUAUUUAAUAGAAGGUUUUCUUCAUAAUCUCCUUAUCUUCCCUGACAGGUUUUCCUAACUUCAAAUCUGGAGAAGAGACAAGAGAUUCAUUCCCUUUCUUCCUAGAGAUUCUUAUGCCAAGUAGUGCAGAGAUUCUUAUGAAAAUUAUUAAAAAGUUAGCCUUCAUCAAAUCACAAAAGAUGAAUAUGUUGAAUGGGUGGCUACUUACAUUUUUGUAACUAGGAGGAGUCAUUCAAGUGGUUCUUAAAUGAAGAAUUAAAUCUUGCUUAAAGCUUUACUAAUGAAAACAAAUAUGUCUGUUAUUGUUGAUUGUUUACAAAAAGUGUCCUAGCAACAUGAGAAUUUUUUCCAAAAAACAUAAAUGAAGAACUACAUGAAGUUAUACACUUAUUGACUUAAUUUUGUUAAUAAAAUAAAACCUUACACAAUUGGGACUUUGCAGGAAAAAUUCAGCUUAUUCUAUUCUUCCAAUAACGUAUCUGGAGUAAACAAAUCCCAUUAUUUUGACAUCUCUUUUAGUUAUUGACAGCCUAUUGGAAAACAGCUCAACAGUUUCACUUCUCUGACUCACAUAAAGGGCAUGUCAUGAGAUUUCCUAAGAAAAGGUCUAAUCUCGGUUAGGUGAAUUUUGGGGUUUGUAUUGGGUACAGUAUUAUUUGGUAAUAAAGAUCACAGGGUAAAAGUCUCUUUAUCUUUGACUCGCUGCACAAGUCAAAGACAUCUAGCUUUCUUUUUCCUUAUGAAACAUUUUAUUUUCCUAAAUUGUAGCUAGACUCUGAACAAUAGGCUGCCUUGCCUGGUAAGUCUGCAAUGGGUAGAUCCUAGAUGGUCUUAGGGCAAAUAAUGUGUAGUAAGCUUUAGAUUAGUGUUUACUCACAUCAAAGAAGCAAGAAUAGGUUUUGUGCUUUGAGGUUGAAAUGUAUCAAACUGACUUUGGAUAACUUGAAAAUACCUUACAAAGGGAAAGGGAAUUUCUAGCAUAAGAUUUAUGUCAAGUUUGGUACUAUAAUGCCAGGUGAUAAUAGCUUCACUUUUGCUCUGUGUACAUGUGUAUUUUCUAAAUUCUAAAAUAUCAG
rnacentral:lncRNA from 10 species